UUUUCAUCUUUGGUGAAUGAUGAUAGGGUCAUUGUGGCUCCUGUUGGGCAUUUGGUGCCGUGGAGUGCCUCCAAGAUCGUUUUUGCAUUCAUAUGAACAUGAACAUUUCACUACCAGUCAAUGACCUACUGGCAUUCUGCGGUUUUAUGUGCGGUGAUGGUUGUGAUGGAGGCUAUCCUAUCAUGGCAUGGCGCUACUUUGUUCAGAAUGGUGUUGUCACAGAGGAGUGCGAUCCAUAUUUCGAUCAGGUUGGUUGCAAGCAUCCUGGAUGCGAACCUGCUUAUCCUACACCAGUGUGUGAAAAGAAAUGCAAGGUGCAGAACCAAGUUUA